AUGGAUGAAAAAUACAAAAAAGGAAGAAGAAAAAAACCCAGCUUUUUCUAUGCAAAAGACAUUUAUGAUGGCAACUCUCCUGGUUAUUGUGUUCAAAGAGAAUUAUUUCCAGUAAGGUUGUUGGCUGCUGAGAAAAGAGGCAUUGUGUUGCCUUGGUGUUUGAUGAACUGGAAGUGUGGAUGCCACAGCUUUCAUGGAAACAAGGAGCAACAUGAAGAGGAAUGCAAGUUCAUCGUCGUCGUCUUAGAACUGCAGAGUUGGAAGGGACCCUGAGAAGGCACAGUAGGGAAUCAAACUCCCAUCUGCAGCCAGAUACCUAAACCUCCAGCAGUUCUCUACAAUCUUCUUCUUCACAGGUAUGGCUUUAAUUUCCCUGGCACCUCACAAUAACUUACUGUUU
rnacentral:lncRNA from 1 species